UUGCGACCCCAGGUCAGGCGGGAUNA
rnacentral:rRNA from 1 species